rnacentral:rRNA from 1 species
ACGGAAGGCAGCAGUGGGGAAUAUUGCACAAUGGGCGAGAGCCUGAUGCAGCGACGCCGCGUGAGUGAAGAAGUAUUUCGGUAUGUAAAGCUCUAUCAGCAGGGAAGAAAAUGACGGUACCUGACUAAGAAGCUCCGGCUAAAUACGUGCCAGCAGCCGCGGUAAUACGUAUGGAGCAAGCGUUAUCCGGAUUUACCGGGUGUAAAGGGAGCGUAGACGGUAUGGUAAGUCUGAAGUGAAAGCUCGAGGCUCAACUUCGGAACUGCUUUGGAAACUAUCAUACUAGAGUGCAGGAGAGGCAAGUGGAAUUCCUAGUGUAGCGGUGAAAUGCGUAGAUAUUAGGAGGAACACCAGUGGCGAAGGCGGCUUACUGGACAAUAACUGACGCUGAGGCUCGAAAGCGUGGGGAGCAAACAGGAUUAGAUACCCUGGUA